UGGGGAAUAUUGCACAAUGGGCGCAAGCCUGAUGCAGCCAUGCCGCGUGUGUGAAGAAGGCCUUCGGGUUGUAAAGCACUUUCAGCGGGGAGGAAGGCGAUAAGGUUAAUAACCUUGUCGAUUGACGUUACCCGCAGAAGAAGCACCGGCUAACUCCGUGCCAGCAGCCGCGGUAAUACGGAGGGUGCAAGCGUUAAUCGGAAUUACUGGGCGUAAAGCGCACGCAGGCGGUCUGUCAAGUCGGAUGUGAAAUCCCCGGGCUUAACCUGGGAACUGCAUUCGAAACUGGCAGGCUAGAGUCGUGUAGAGGGGGGUAGAAUUCCAGGGGUAGCGGUGAAAUGCGUAGAGAUCUGGAGGAAUACCGGUGGCGAAGGCGGCCCCCUGGACAAAGACUGACGCGCAGGUACGAAAGCGUGGGGAGCAAACAGG
rnacentral:rRNA from 1 species